ACUCCCACACACGCCAGCUGGGUGACCUUGGGCUAGUCACAGCUUUUCAGAGCUCUCUCAGCCCCACCUACCUCACAGGGUGUUUGUUGUGAGGGGGGAAGGGCAAGGAGGAUUGUAAGCUCCCUUUGAGUCUCCUGCAGGAGAGAAAGGGGAUAUAAAUCCAAAC